rnacentral:rRNA from 1 species
UACGGGGGGAGCAAGCGUUGUUCGGAUUUACUGGGCGUAAGGGCGCGUAGGCGGCCACUGCAAGUCAGUUGUGAAAUCUCCGGGCUUAACCCGGAAAGGUCAACUGAUACUGCAGGGCUAGAGUGCAGAAGGGGCAACUGGAAUUCUCGGUGUAGCGGUGAAAUGCGUAGAUAUCGAGAGGAACACCUGCGGCGAAGGCGGGUUGCUGGGCUGACACUGACGCUGAUGUGCGAAAGCCAGGGGAGCGAACGGG